UACGAAGGGUGCAAACGUUGCUCGGAAUCAUUGGGCGUAAAGCGCACGUAGGCGGCUUGCCAAGUCGGACGUGAAAUCCCUCAGCUCAACUGAGGACGUGCAUCCGAAACUGGCGAGCUUGAGUACUGAAGAGGAUCGCGGAAUUCCCGGUGUAGAGGUGAAAUUCGUAGAUAUCGGGAGGAACACCAGUGGCGAAGGCGGCGAUCUGGGCAGAUACUGACGCUGAGGUGCGAAAGCGUGGAGAGCAAACAGG
rnacentral:rRNA from 1 species